GUGACGAGCGUCUUGGUGGAGGGAACGAGCUGCCUGCAAAGGCAUUUUCCGCUCUCUAAAGUAAACAAUCACACAGGAAAUUAAUCUAGAAACCCACAUCAACGGAAGGUUCAGGCUGUGAUUUUCACAGCCCCAGAGCCAGGAAAUUCAAAGUUAUAGUCCCCAUAGCAACUCGCCCGUAGCAGUCAGCCACCGGGGGCUUGGAUGAGCCCUUGAGGGGUCAAUGGGGCCAGCCCUCUGCCUCCAGGAAGCACAGCCCCAAAGCAAGCCUGCGUGCCUGGGGCGGACGGCUCUCCUCUCCCGAGGAGGAACGCCAAGCCUGGGACAGAGUCAGGAGUCGCAAGGCGGGGGUCUGCUUUCAGUUCUCACCGCAAUGAGCCCCGGAAGCCGGGCCACCAGCUGACAUCCCACAUUCCCACUUCCCCACGACGAUCCCCCAGGUCCCAUGUUCCAUGAAAUGGCAAUUCUCAGGCCUGCAAGACGCCCAGGGGAGGGGCCGUGCCUGCGCUCAUUCUUAUUCCCACCCCACUCCUCUUACUCAGCCCCCGAAGGGCCCCCCUCUCUAUCCCAGUUGCCCUUGAACCUAGCGAUUGGCCUUUGGCCCACCCCCUGCUUGUUUUUCCUCCAAGAAAUAUCUCAAUUGAUUGACAGGUCCAAGAGCUUUCACAGCAGACACCAAGGCGACUCCGAUUUUUGGACGCCCUUCUCAACCUGCCCCCUUCUGGAUCAAAUUUAUAAUAUUAUCUCAAUGCGCACUUCCUGCUCCCCAGACCAACCGACCGAUAGGUUGAACGGAGCCAGGGGCAAGCCCUCCCCCUGCAAGGAUGUGGAGCUGUCUGUCUGGGGUCCGGGGUGGGGUUUUCAUUUGUGUGUGACUAGUGAGGAGUCCCCGCCUGGCAGGAAAGGAGAUAAGGACAGUGACGCUCAACCCAGAAGGAAGUAGUCUGGAAUCCUUCCCCGAGGGUCUGGGAGAUGGCCUCCGAGCCGGCUGGUCUUAUCAGCAUGAUUCUGCAGUCUCGGCCGGGCGCUUGUGACAACACGAGCCGAGGCAAGAGCAGGCGCUCGCAGGCACCGGGCCUGUGGCAGAGGAUGCCCGCCUGCCCGCCCACCGCCAGCCUGGCCCCGGAGCCAGGCCGUGAGUUGAGCAAAGCAGUGGAAAAAGAAGUGGCGCCUGCUGGAAAGCAGACAGAGCGGCUCCUUGAUUUCCUAACAGGCCCCGCGCAUGCCAGGGGCCUGCGGGCCAGCUCCGAGCGCCCAGCUCGCUUGCGCAACAGUCCUUUCCUCCUCUGGGUAAGCUUUCCCGGGCAGCCGAGCCGCUGUCCAGCCACCCGAGUCCCUGGACGAGGCCUCCCCUCCCCACCGCCUCCCUGCCUUCUCCUGUGGUUACGUUCAUCAGAGCAGGGUGGGCAGCUCAGGGAAGACGGGACGCCUCCCGGGGGUGCCAGAUCUUUCCUUUCAUGGAGCAGACCCAGAAGCGUCCUUAGAAAGAAGAAGGCUGGUGGGGAGGUCACUGUGGACAGAUGGCGGGCUUCUCUGCAGUCUCGGGGGGCACUUGAGGAGGGCAGAGCCCAGAGGGUGAGCCACCGGCUUCAGAGGAAGGGCCUGAUCCAAGAGCCCAGGGCGCCCCCUGCUCACUCAUCAGGGCACGUGGUUAUCUGCAGGGCUGUGCCAACCACCCUCCUCGAGCCUGGGAAGAAACUUCGUAGGCUCCUCAUGGUAUGCCAAGUCUGUGUGUGUGAGCAGGGAGGGCUCAGUAACCACCAAAGGGCUGUGAGGGGCGGGAGAAGGGGCACACCGGCUCCUUGCUGUGCUACCGAGCAUGGUAUUCUGAAGAAGCUUUUGCUUAAACCGUGCCCUCUUCAACACGGUAGUCUUGGCACGCCCGACUGAAGACGAUGCAAUGCCUGCACCGCCCGGUGACCAGACACAGGUGCCAGUCUCCGGGGUGGAGGGUGGCGUUUGAGGCCACACCGCAGAAGCUGGGCUGGACGUCUGUCCCUUGGCCGAGGGAGCUCAGCUGGUUCUGUGGGUCUGCCUUCUCCCACCUUGGCUCCAUUUACUGGCUCACUCAAGACUGACUGCAAAGCCCUCCUCCUCCGAGAAGCCUUCCCUGACCUCCUCCUCUAACCUUUGUAGCCAGAAGUUCUCUAUUCACAGCCCUGUUUGGUUUUACUAAGUUCUAAGUGGAGUGGAGGGUCUCCUUCGACUAGCUUUUCCUCACACAGGGCCUUGUGCCCAGCUGUCUCUCUCAGAAGACCUGUGGGUGGACUGGGAGGAAAGUGUGUGCUGGGACACAGUCACUUAGAAGGGCCUCUCUGUCCCCUGGGAUGCAGCCUCCCCAGUGACAUAUAGACCUGCAGUACGGCAGGCCCUGCACCCCACCCUGGCUCUACAUUAUUCACAAUAGCCAAGACCUGGAAAUAAGCUAAGGGUCUUUCACUAAAUAACUGGGGGACAUAACGAAGUUCUCUGAAAAAAUUAAAAAUGGAACUGCCAUUUGACCCAGUGAUCCCACUUCUAGGAAUAUAUCUAA